rnacentral:rRNA from 1 species
UACGUAGGGGGCAAGCGUUAUCCGGAUUUACUGGGUGUAAAGGGGGCGCAGACGGCGAUGCAAGCCAGGAGUGAAAGCCCGGGGCCCAACCCCUGGACUGCUCUUGGAACUGCGUGGCUGGAGUGCAGGAGGGGCAGGCGGAAUUCCUGGUGUAGCGGUGAAAUGCGUAGAUAUCAGGAGGAACACCGGUGGCGAAGGCGGCCUGCUGGACUGCAACUGACGUUGAGGCCCGAAAGCGUGGGGAGCAAACAGG